UGGUGGAGAGCGGGUGGAGUUUGCUACCUACCUUGAAGUCCUCGAUAACAUAAAGAGUAAAAAUAUCUUUUUUUCUUCUUCUUUUUUUGACCUAGUCGUUCUAAGGAUAUCCCGCCCCAGUUACAGCUAGCCACAUAGAGCAUCAAUGUAGAAUCACUUGAAAUAAAUUGCUAUAGCAUUAGAUGUGUAACUGAUUGGCAUACCGCUUGAAUACCGAACACUAAAGGGAGCUAGUUCGAAUCUCUAUGUAGUAGGCUUCGUAUAUUUGAUUGGCGGAAACAGUUAUUUAAUCACGUAGAAAGAAUGUAGGGUACAGACUUGUUCAGACUGACAGAAUUAACCUUCCUGGUCUGAACAUUUGAUUUUCUGUACCUACAGCUCCAGGUAAACAUUCAAUCUGUCAGUGCGUUUGGCAGGUGACACAGGGGCAAGGUUGUUUGACUCGAAGCGAAUGCAUGGAGAUAGCAAACCAGCGAGUUAUGUGCUACAACAAAUGGCAUGAUGGUGGUGUGACGAGGCCGCGACUGCAGCAUUGGUAUUUGUCAAGUGCUUAUAGCAGUAGAGAAACAUGUCUCUAGGGCGCACCAAAAUUAUCAACCUUCACUGAGUGGUGAAAUAGAGGAAGCAAGUCAAUGAAUGAAGCCAGUGGAAGAUGUGAGGAUUAGAGGAGACUGCCAGAGAGAGAGAGAGAGACCCGUGAGUUGAAAUUGUCGAGACACCUUGGGGUGAGUGCAAUACGAAGACAACUAAACGUAAGUAUCACGUGAACACAUGGUCAAAGCUGAUUGGUUGCUAAAUUUAUAAGCAUUUAAUGACAACGAGAAGUAUGAUUUGAAAGAGAAUUGCCUUCAGGGGAAAUACGAAUGAAAAUUAGUUAGCCUUUGUGUGCGGGAUGAUAGAGAGAGAGAGAGAGAGAUAGAGACUAACUCUGAGCAUUGAAAAGAAAGAUGUGUUAGUAGAAACUGUGCAACCUAAGACCAGGUUUAAAAGGUUGGGCUGUAGUAUUUAAGAUAAGGAGGGUGGUUGUUAGGUUCGAACCUUAACAAAGUAUAAAUUAACCCACCUCCCCUCCCUUUCCAAAAACAAACAAAUUUGUACAUGUAUCCUUUACGCUUUAUACAACAGUGAUACACAAAAUAACACAACAGGAAAAUCAACAAAACAAAACUCCAUGGUCUUGAUCGCUAUUUGUGUAAGAUUAUUAAAACUAAAAAAUUCACAUACCAACAGUAAGGGCAUUAAUUACUCACAAAACUAAUAAAAGACUGGUUAUAUCCCUUAGACAUGUAUAAUAAUGGCUUUGAGCUACUUGGUGCAAGUGUGGGGUGUGGGGUGGUCUUUUUUUUUUAAUUUUAUUUUCAGGUGAAAAAAGCCAAGUAAAGUCUUACAUGCAGACACUGUGUCUCUUGAUAGAACAUCCUCCUGGUAUCUGCGUCAGUUCCGGCAAGAAGAUCUACAAUUAUCUAAGAACAAACUGAAGUAAAGGAUCGACUCAGCAGCAAGGACUACGUCAUAACUAUUCCUUGAGCUCCUAGAAAUUGUCCAUGCCUAUAGUGUAGGAAGUAUAUGUAUCGAGUCCGAAGAUUGAUUAGUGCAAGCGACUACAAAAUUACUUUCCAUCUACUAAACAAACUAGUUAGCUUAACUUUUAGCCAACCUAUAUUGAGUGGUAAAAUCAGUGCGCAUAUUUAUGCUUUGAUGAUAUAUAAUGAUUUAUAUCGAAGACAAUCUUUCACUAUUAUGGUCUUCUUAAAUUAAACAUUUGGUUAAAAGAUAAAGACAUAAAAUAUGCAAUUUUUUACGAGUCUCAUUGUUCUAUUUUUAAUUAUUUUUUUUUUUUACAUUUUUUCUACGAAAGGAGCAAAUUCACAAAGACUUCAAGAAAGACAAAAAAAAAAAAAAAAUUAAAUUUAAAUUUUAUUUUGCAGAUUUCUAGGACUUGAAAACUAUUCCGUGGAACAUUAUCGCGUAUUAGAGCCGUACAAGGGGAUAUUAUUAAGUCAUGUACUGUUAUUUUGUACUGUCUAAAACUUUUUCUAGUUGCUCAAGGAUUGGAUAGAAUUUGAAUUAGAUAUAUCAUGUAACCUAUGUUGAACCCAUUUAAAAAGGUCUAUAUUUAUUUACUUAAAGUUACUCUGCAUAAUUUUUUUAACGGCGAGAUGUUUUUCUGAUAAUAUGUAUCAGUUAAAUCUAAUUUUAAAUGACAUUGUUACGGUAUUCAUUUACUUGAUGUAAAGCUACAUACCAUUAUAUUCAGACAUUAUCAAGACGUUGUUAAUUCUUCUAGCUUUAUUUUCAAAUUCUUGGAUAGUCUUUCCUAGGGAUUUUCAUACAUGGAUGCCGAUCCAUAAAUAGCUAGCUUUUUGGUGUAAUCGGUGUACAGAAUAAAGUGUUGAUGAGCUAUGUGGGUUUUUUUUUAAUUUACAGGAUUUUGUGUGUUCACUUUCUAGCGCUGCCAAUUCAAAUGUUUAAAGCUCUUACGUCUGUAGCCUUCAUUUAGAUGUCAGUAUUGGAGUUUAGUUUCGCGUCCUUGACAUUGUUUAGUCUAGCAUCCUUGACAUUAUUUAGUUUUUAUUGUGUAGCUCUUCAGUAAUCGAGAAUCUCAAUAACUUUAUUUUACGAAAGAAAUCAUUUUAACACUCAAAAUUUCAAAAUGGGCUUUAGGAGAAAAAAAAUUCUAUUGAAAUUUAAAAAAAAAAACGAAUUAUAUUUCAAUUUAUUGUCGUUGUUUUUAUUGUGGAAAGUAAACUUAGUAAUCAUGCCAUUCACAGCCUCCAAGCAUAAAUAUAGACCUUUAUUAUUUCCUGUAAGCACACCUUUGCAUCAUUGAAUCAAAAGGAAAAUAUUCUGAAAUCAAACGGUUCAAAGUGCCAUUUAAAUAGGCAGGUUUUUAUUUUCUUGACACAUUGUAUGUCCCUUUGCAUCCCUAAGAGUAACAUUCUAUCUACUUCUAGGUGGAGCUGCGGGACUAUGUCCAGGGCCUAUUCUGUCAAAAACUCUCUCACUCUAUCAUAAAGUCUGUGAAAAAAAAGUCUACAACAUUCUCCAUUUAUAAGUCUACCAAAAAGUCUACCACAUUCUCUAUUAUUAAGUCUUCCAAAUAGUCUACCAGUCUACCAUA